rnacentral:rRNA from 1 species
UGGGCAACCUGCCCCUCUCUCUGGGAUAACCCCGGGAAACCGGAGCUAAUACCGGAUACUCCGGCUGGAUCGCAUGGUCCGGCCGGGAAAGGUCCGCCGGAGAGGGAUGGGCCCGCGGCCUAUCAGCUUGUUGGUGAGGUAAUGGCUCACCAAGGCGAUGACGGGUAGCCGGCCUGAGAGGGUGACCGGCCACACUGGGACUGAGACACGGCCCAGACUCCUACGGGAGGCA